UAUUGCUCCUGCUAACUAAAAGA
rnacentral:miRNA from 1 species